GCCCAAGUGGUGGAAUGGUAGACACGAUAGAUUUAGGAUCUAUUGCCAGAAAUGGUGUGGAGGUUCGACUCCUCUCUUGGGCA
rnacentral:tRNA from 3 species